rnacentral:rRNA from 1 species
GUGUAUGGAAUGUCAAAUUUCUAGUAUGAGAAAUUAACGAUUUAAGUCCUUCUUAAAUGAGGCCAUUUACCCAUAGAGGGUGCCAGGCCCGUAUAACGUUAAUGAUUACUAGAUGGCAUUUCCAAAGAGUCGUGUUGCUUGAUAGUGCAGCACUAAGUGGGUGGUAAACUCCAUCUAAAACUAAAUAUAACCAUGAGACCGAUAGUAAACAAGUACCGUGAGGGAAAGUUGAAAAGAACUCUGAAUAGAGAGUUAAAUAGUACGUGAAACUGCUUAGAGGUUAAGCCCGAUGAACCUGAAUAUCCAUUAUAGAAAAUUCAUCAUUAUGAUUUUAAUAUUUAUAAUAUUAUAAUAAUGGUGUGCAUUUUUUCUAUAACGGACAUUGUAAUCUAUUAACAUAUAUAUAUUUAUCAAAAGAUCAAUGAUGCGUAAGUUUAUUCAAAUUAUUUUGCUUGCAAUUUAACAUAGAAUAAAUGCUCUUGAUUUGAUAAAGUGUUGAUAGAUUUAUUGUAUAUAGUGCUUAAAUAUUUAUAUUUUAUAAUAGCAUAUUAAUCAUUGAUUUUUAUGUUUAUUAUAUGCACUUAUAUGAUUAACAAUGCGAAAGAUUCAGGAUACCUUCGGGACCCGUCUUGAAACACGG